CCGCCGGCACGGCGGCCGGCACUGGAGCGGCCUGCGUCGCCGCGUGGACGUCCUCGCGGGUGAUGGAGCCGUUCGGGCCGGUCCCGGUGAUC
rnacentral:tRNA from 1 species